rnacentral:rRNA from 1 species
AAAUUGAAGAGUUUGAUCAUGGCUCAGAUUGAACGCUGGCGGCAGGCCUAACACAUGCAAGUCGAACGGUAACAGGAAGAAGCUUGCUUCUUUGCUGACGAGUGGCGGACGGGUGAGUAAUGUCUGGGAAACUGCCUGAUGGAGGGGGAUAACGUACUGGAAACGGUAGCUAAUACCGCAUAACG